rnacentral:rRNA from 1 species
GAUGAACGCUGGCGGCGUGCCUAAUACAUGCAAGUCGAGCGAACAGAUGAGGAGCUUGCUCCUCUGACGUUAGCGGCGGACGGGCGAGUAACACGUGGAUAACCUACCUAUAAGACUGGGAUAACUUCGGGAAACCGGAGCUAAUACCGGAUAAUAUAUUGAACCGCAUGGUUCAAUAGUGAAAGACGGAUUUGCUGACACUUAUAGAUGGAUCCGCGCCGCAUUGGCUAGUUGGUAAGGUAACGGCUUACGAAGGCAACGAUGCUUAGCCGACCUGAGAGGGUGAUCGCCCACCCUGGACCUGGGCCCCGGUCCAGACUCCUACGGGAGGCAGCAGUAGGGAAUCUUCCGCAUUGGGCGAAAGCCUGACGGAGCAACGCCGCGUGAUUGAUGAAGGUCUUCGGAUCUUAAACCUCUGUUAUUAGGGAGGAACAGUUUUGUAAGUAACUAUGCACGUCUUGACGGUACCUUAUCAGAAAGCCACGGCUAACUACGUG